rnacentral:rRNA from 1 species
AUUGAACGCUGGCGGCAUGCCUAACACAUGCAAGUCGAACGGAAACGAUGGGAGCUUGCUCCCAGGCGUCGAGUGGCGGACGGGUGAGUAAUACUUAGGAAUCUGCCCAGUAGUGGGGGACAACAUUCGGAAACGGAUGCUAAUACCGCAUACGCACUACGGUGGAAAGUGGGGGACCUUCGGGCCUCACGCUAUUGGAUGAGCCUAAGUCGGAUUAGCUUGUUGGUAGGGUAAUGGCCUACCAAGGCGACGAUCCGUAGCUGGUCUGAGAGGACGAUCAGCCACACUGGGACUGAGACACGGCCCAGACUCCUACGGGAGGCAGCAGUGGGGAAUAUUGGACAAUGGGCGCAAGCCUGAUCCAGCAAUGCCGCGUGUGUGAAGAAGGCCUGCGGGUUGUAAAGCACUUUCAGUAGAGAAGAAAAGCUUAGGGUUAAUAACCCUGAGUCUUGACGUAACCUACAGAAGAAGCACCGGCUAACUCCGUG